GAGUUGGAUCGUGGCUCACGACGAACGCUGGCGGCGUGCUUAACACAUGCAAGUCGAACGAUGAAGCCUAGCUUGCUAGGUGGAUUAGUGGCGAACGGGUGAGUAAUACGUGAGUGACCUACCUUUGACUCUGGGAUAAGCCUGGGAAACUGGGUCUAAUACCGGAUACGACCAAUCUCCGCAUGGGGUGUUGGUGGAAAGCGUUAUGGAGUGGUUUUAGAUGGGCUCACGGCCUAUCAGCUUGUUGGUGAGGUAAUGGCUUACCAAGGCGACGACGGGUAGCCGGCCUGAGAGGGUGACCGGCCACACUGGGACUGAGACACGGCCCAGACUCCUACGGGAGGCAGCAGUGGGGAAUAUUGCACAAUGGGCGCAAGCCUGAUGCAGCGACGCCGCGUGAGGGAUGACGGCCUUCGGGUUGUAAACCUCUGUUAGCAUCGAAGAAGCGAAAGUGACGGUAGGUGCAGAGAAAGCGCCGGCUAACUACGUGCCAGCAGCCGCGGUAAUACGUAGGGCGCGAGCGUUGUCCGGAAUUAUUGGGCGUAAAGAGCUUGUAGGCGGUUGGUCGCGUCUGCUGUGAAAAGCUGGGGCUUAACCCUGGUUUUGCAGUGGGUACGGGCUAACUAGAGUGCAGUAGGGGAGACUGGAAUUCCUGGUGUAGCGGUGGAAUGCGCAGAUAUCCAGGAGGAACACCGAUGGCGAAGGCAGGUCUCUGGGCUGUAACUGACGCUGAGAAGCGAAAGCAUGGGGAGCGAACAGGAUUAGAUACCCUGGUAGUCCAUGCCGUAAACGUUGGGCACUAGGUGUGGGGGACAUUCCACGUUUUCCGCGCCGUAGCUAACGCAUUAAGUGCCCCGCCUGGGGAGUACGGCCGCAAGGCUAAAACUCAAAGAAAUUGACGGGGGCCCGCACAAGCGGCGGAGCAUGCGGAUUAAUUCGAUGCAACGCGAAGAACCUUACCAAGGCUUGACAUAUACUGGCCCCCCCCCCCAGAUGGCGUUUCCCUUCGGGGCUGGUAUACAGGUGGUGCAUGGUUGUCGUCAGCUCGUGUCGUGAGAUGUUGGGUUAAGUCCCGCAACGAGCGCAACCCUCGUUCUAUGUUGCCAGCACGUGAUGGUGGGGACUCAUAGGAGACUGCCGGGGUCAACUCGGAGGAAGGUGGGGAUGACGUCCCCUCAUCAUGCCCCUUAUGUCUUGGGCUUCACGCAUGCUACAAUGGCCGGUACAGAGGGUUGCGAUACUGUGAGGUGGAGCUAAUCCCUAAAAGCCGGUCUCAGUUCGGAUUGGGGUCUGCAACUCGACCCCAUGAAGUCGGAGUCGCUAGUAAUCGCAGAUCAGCAACGCUGCGGUGAAUACGUUCCCGGGCCUUGCACACACCGCCCGUC
rnacentral:rRNA from 1 species